GAUGAACGCUGGCGGCGUGCCUAAUACAUGCAAGUCGAGCGAACGGACGAGAAGCUUGCUUCUCUGAUGUUAGCGGCGGACGGGUGAGUAACACGUGGAUAACCUACCUAUAAGACUGGGAUAACUUCGGGAAACCGGAGCUAAUACCGGAUGAUAUUUUGAACCGCAUGGUUCAAAAGUGAAAGACGGUCUUGCUGUCACUUAUAGAUGGAUCCGCGCUGCAUUAGCUAGUUGGUAAGGUAACGGCUUACCAAGGCAACGAUGCAUAGCCAACCUGAGAGGGUGAUCAGCCACACUGGAACUGAGACACGGUCCAGACUCCUACGGGAGGCAGCAGUAGGGAAUCUUCCGCAAUGGGCGAAAGCCUGACGGAGCAACGCCGCGUGAGUGAUGAAGGUCUUCGGAUCGUAAAACUCUGUUAGUAGGGAAGAACAUAUGUGUAAGUAACUGUGCACAUCUUGACGGUACCUAAUCAGAAAGCCACGGCUAACUACGUG
rnacentral:rRNA from 1 species